UACGUAGGGUGCAAGCGUUGUCCGGAAUUAUUGGGCGUAAAGAGCUCGUAGGCGGUUUGUCGCGUCUGCUGUGAAAACUCGGGGCUUAACCCCGGGCCUGCAGUGGGUACGGGCAGACUAGAGUGCGGUAGGGGAGACUGGAAUUCCCAGUGUAGAGGUGAAAUUCGUAGAUAUUGGGAAGAACACCGGUGGCGAAGGCGGGCA
rnacentral:rRNA from 1 species